UUAACUUGUUUGUUUUUCUCGAGAAUGCAAAAAGAAGACAGUGUGUUGGGGCCGCCGGCGGACGUUGGCGGGGGAGACCCCCGCCGCGGCACCCGCCGAGGCAACGUGUUUGUAGUGAGUUCACAGGGUGAAGGAGUCUUGCGAGUCCUGUAAUGAUCCCUCCGCUGGUUCACCAACGGAGA
rnacentral:misc_RNA from 1 species